rnacentral:rRNA from 1 species
UGAGUACAAGAUGCUACGGCAUUGAAGCAGUCUAUGUCAUACUUCCAAGAAAAGCUUGCAAUGUCAUAAACAAAUAAUGCCUGUACCAUAACCGACACAGGUGGGUAGGUAGAGUAUACUAAGGGGCGCGAGAUAACUCUCUCUAAGGAACUCGGCAAAAUGACUCCGUAACUUCGGGAGAAGGAGUACCUUAUUUUAUAAGGUUGCAAUAACAAGGUCCAAGCAACUGUUUACCAAAAACACAGGUCUCCGCUAAGUCGUAAGACGAUGUAUGGGGGCUGACGCCUGCCCAGUGCCAGAAGGUUAAAGAAGUUGGUUAGCAUUAGCGAAGCUGAUAACUGAAGCCCUGGUGAACGGCGGCCGUAACAAUAACGGUCCUAAGGUAGCGAAAUUCCUUGUCGGGUAAGUUCCGACCCGAACGAAAGGCGUAAUGAUUUGGAUACUGUCUCGGAGAGGGGCUCGGUGAAAUAGACUUGUCUGUGAAGAUGCGGACUACCUGCACCUGGACAGAAAGACCCUAUGAAGCUUUACUGUAACUUGAGAUUGAAAUUGGACUUUAUUUGCGCAGUAUAGGUGGGAGACCUCGAAAGUAUUCUUGCGGGAAUAUUGGAGUCAUCAGUGAGAUACCACUCUUAUAAUGUUAGAUUUCUAACUUUGUAUCAUUAUCUGGUCAAAGAACAGUUUCAGGCGGGCAGUUUGACUGGGGCGGUCGCCUCCCAAAUGGUAACGGAGGCGCACAAAGGUUUCCUCUGAACGUGUAGAAAUCGUAUCUAGAGUGUAAAGGCAUAAGGAAGCUUGACUGUGAGACCUACAAGUCGAGCAGGGACGAAAGUCGGUCUUAGUGAUCUGACGGUGCUGAGUGGAAAGGCCGUCACUCAACGGAUAAAAGUUACUCUAAGGAUAACAGGCUGAUCUCCCCCAAGAGUUCACAUCGACGGGGAGGUUUGGCACCUCGAUGUCGGCUCAUCGCAUCCUGGGGCGGUAGUACGUCCCAAGGGUUGGGCUGUUCGCCCAUGAAAGCGGUACGCGAGCUGGGUUCAGAACGUCGUGAGACAGUUCGGUCCAUAUCCGGUGUAGGCGUUAGAAUAUUGAGAGGAGCCUUCUUUAGUACGAGAGGACCGAGAAGGACAUACCUCUGGUGUACCAGUUAUCGUGCCAACGGUAAACGCUGGGUAGCUAUGUAUGGAGAGGAUAACCGCUGAAAGCAUCUAAGUGGGAAGCCCACCUCAAGAUAAG